rnacentral:rRNA from 1 species
AUUGAACGCUGGCGGCAGGCCUAACACAUGCAAGUCGAACGGUAGCACAGAGUGCUUGCUCUUGGGUGACGAGUGGCGGACGGGUGAGUAAUGUCUGGGAAACUGCCUGAUGGAGGGGGAUAACUACUGGAAACGGUAGCUAAUACCGCAUAACGUCGCAAGACCAAAGAGGGGGACCUUCGGGCCUCUUGCCCUCAGAUGUGCCCAGAUGGGAUUAGCUAGUAGGUGGGGUAACGGCUCACCUAGGCGACGAUCCCUAGCUGGUCUGGGAGGAGGACAAGCCACACUGGAACUGAGACACGGUCCAGACUCCUACGGGAGGCAGCAGAGGGGAAUAUUGCACAAUGGGCGCAAGCCUGAUGCAGCCAUGCCGCGUGUAUGAAGAAGGCCUUCGGGUUGUAAAGUACUUUCAGCGAGGAGGAAGGCGAUACGGUUAAUAACCGUGUCGAUUGACGUUACUCGCAGAAGAAGCACCGGCUAACUCCGUGCCAGCCGCCGCCGUAA